rnacentral:rRNA from 1 species
GCACCUUAUACAUUGCGUGCUCCGCAGUGCAGCGGCACCGAUCAAUUUGAAAUCUGGCACUUUCAGUGUCCGAGUUGUAAUUUGUAGAAGUAGUUUUGGGGCUGGUCCUUGUCUAUGUUCCUUGGAACAGGACGUCAUAGAGGGUGAGAAUCCCGUGUGGCGAGGAUCCCAGUUCUUUGUAAAACGCUUUCGAAGAGUCGAGUUGUUUGGGAAUGCAGCUCUAAGUGGGUGGUAAAUUCCAUCUAAAGCUAAAUAUUGGCGAGAGACCGAUAGCGAACAAGUACAGUGAUGGAAAGAUGAAAAGAACUUUGAAAAGAGAGUGAAAAAGUACGUGAAAUUGUUGAAAGGGAAGGGCAUUUGAUCAGACAUGGUGUUUGGACGCCCUGCGCUCCUUGUGGGUGCAGGACACGCUUUUCACUGGGCCAACAUCGGUUUUGGCAGCAGGAUAAAUCGCUAGGAACGUAGCUGCCCUCGGGUAGUGUUACAGCCUGGCGGAAUACUGCUAGCCGGGACUGAGGACUGCGUCUUUUGACAAGGAUGUUGGCAUAAUGGUUAAAUGCCGCCUGUCUUGAAACACGGACCUGGAUAUGCA